rnacentral:rRNA from 1 species
CCCGUUAAUGGGUGAUGGCGUGCCUUUUGUAGAAUGAACCGGCGAGUUACGAUUUGAUGCAUGGUUAAGCAGUAAAUGUGGAGCCGUAGCGAAAGCGAGUCUGUAUAGGGCGUUUAGUAUUUGGUCGUAGACCCGAAACCAGGUGAUCUACCCUUGGUCAGGUUGAAGUUCAGGUAACAGUGAAUGGAGGACCGAACCGACUUACGUUGAAAAGUGAGCGGAUGAACUGAGGGUAGCGGAGAAAUUCCAAU